rnacentral:rRNA from 1 species
AUUGAACGCUGGCGGCAUGCCUAACACAUGCAAGUCGAGCGGUAGCGCGGGGCUUGCUUUUCUUGCGAGCGGCGGACGGGUGAGUAAUGCCUAGGAAUCUGCCUGGUAGUGGGGGAUAACGUACCGAAACGGGCGUUAAUACCGCAUACGACCUGCGGGAGAAAGCGGGGGACCUUCGGGCCUUGCGCUAUUGGAUGAGCCUAGGUCGGAUUAGCUAGUUGGUGGGGUAAUGGCUCACCAAGGCGACGAUCCGUAGCUGGUCUGAGAGGAUGAUCAGUCACACUGGAACUGAGACACGGUCCAGACUCCUACGGGAGGCAGCAGUGGGGAAUAUUGGACAAUGGGCGAAAGCCUGAUCCAGCCAUGCCGCGUGUGUGAAGAAGGUCUUCGGAUUGUAAAGCACUUUAAGUUGGGAAGAAAGGUUGUGGAUUAAUACGCUGCGAGGUUGACGGUACCGACAGAAUAAGCACCGGCUAACUCCGUG